GUAGGGAAUAUUGGACAAUGGGUGCAAGCCUGAUCCAGCCAUGCCGCGUGCAGGAAGAAGGCCUUCUGGGUCGUAAACUGCUUUUGCCGGGGGAUAAAAUAGCUUUGCGAAGCGAAUUGAAGGUACCUGGUGAAUAAGCCACGGCUAACUACGUGCCAGCAGCCGCGGUAAUACGUAGGUGGCAAGCGUUGUCCGGAUUUAUUGGGUUUAAAGGGUGCGUAGGCGGUCAAAUAAGUCAGUGGUGAAAUACGGCAGCUUAACUGUCGAGGUGCCAUUGAUACUGCUUGACUUGAGUACUGAUGAGGUAGGCGGAAUGGACGGUGUAGCGGUGAAAUGCUUAGAGAUCGUCCAGAACACCGAUAGCGAAGGCAGCUUACUAAGGAGUAACUGACGCUGAGGCACGAAAGUGUGGGGAUCAAACAGGAUUAGAUACCCCAGUAGUCC
rnacentral:rRNA from 1 species